UAAAUGGCUAUCAUGCCAUUGUAUGAGUGCUGCUCCAAAUGUAAUGCCUCUUAUUUUAUUGGUUCACAACAUCAGAGGCAGACAUUGGUGGUAUGGCAGUAAAGGCUGUACCUUCCCAACAGCAUUACAUUAUAUGUUGUUGCUGUAUCACAGAUGACAGCAGAGGAGCACUCUGACAGAAGGACAUUUGACAAGGAAGUGCGGAUGAAACAAAGAGUGCAAAAGCAUCCUGCUAACCCUGAACACAGAGAACAGACUAUUUUAAAACAGCAGGAAAGAGAAGCAGCAAACUGAGAUUUUGAGGAAGGGAACAUCUGGGGCUGUGCAACAAGACAGGACUGCUGCAAAAGACAGGCUACUAAAAAGAGAACUGGUGAGCUCAAAGAAAGAUACCCAUUACGACCAUGUUUUGGGAAGAGCUCUAUGUCAGCAGCACAAGUUAUAAGUGUGAUGCCAGAUGUUCUGGAAAUUUCUUUGAGUAUCUCUUUUUGAGAGCUCAAGAGUGAGAGGAGCUGAUUUGGUUUAAAGUUUACUUAAACUUUUGAAGGAAAGGAUCAUAUUGCAUCAAAGAAGUCAUACAGCUCAAAGAAGUCACCUGCUGAACAUACUGAGGUGCCACUCCAUCAUAGAAGGCCACAAGACUGGUCAGACGUGACCUUGGUGAAGACGUGCUGGCUGUCUUGGAUCAUUUUGCAUGUGUUACAUUUGCAUAUAUGGACCAACGCUCAUGCUGAACAGACCCAGAUUACCUAGUCUUUCAUCAUGUGGGAGAUAUUCCAUGCCCUUUAUCAUCUUGAGGAUUCCUUCUGGGAGAUCUCUGUUGUUUGUUGUUGUUUGUUUGUUUGUUUUUUAAUUGGGGAGCCCAGAACUGGACACAAUCAUCUAAAUGUGGCCUAAGGAAAGAACUCCUUAAGAUGUGUUCCCCUGACUGGAGAUGGUGAUACUUCAGACAGCUGGCAGAAAAUCAGGUCUGAUGUCCAAUUCAAAAUUCCAGGAUGGAGAACAAAUACUAGCCAGUACCGGUAAGGUACCCAGAUUCGGAGACUGCCAAGCAAACAGUCCUUAGCAAGCUGGAUGUGAAACAGCAACUGACAAUAAGCCUGUUCAGCUUCAUUAAGGAGGAAAUGUUAUGGAUUUUUGGCCCACAAAGAAGAGCUUAAGAACAGAAGAGAUUCCAGGUCCUUCCAGGCCAAUAAUUUCUUCCUACCAUUAGAAAAGGACACCGGGCUUGAAACCUGCCUGUUCCUGUGUUCUGUUCCCCAGCAUCCUUCACUGACGUAUUAUGGAUGUUUAAAGAAAGCGAUCCAGUGCUUCGCCACUGUAACCUUCCUACCCACACCUGCCACUGCAACUCCUUUUCCUUUUUAAGAGAUCUUAACGGAAUCAGGAUGGAAAUGAAAGUAUAAAGAUAGAAUGCUGCCUCAUUGAAACUGAAAGUGGAAAAGCCCAAUUGAUUAAUACCUCUUCUCAAAAUGUAACUCCUUAAUCUUCCCUCUUCCUGGAAACAUACAUGGUCAGAGCUGAAUGGAUGCAGUGUUUUCAGUGGUUUUGUCCUCCCAUUCAGAGAUCCAGCGCACAUCCUGCAAGAGCAGGUAUGAGUAGUAGAAGCAAGGCAACAUGUGGUGCUCGCAAACAGAGAUGGGCGGCCAAGAGGACCGAUUCUGAGCCCGUCGUGGUCUAAUGUCGUGACUAAGAAUGACAGUGAUGAAUCAAAAUAAACAUCCCAUGGAUAGCUGAUUGAUAUUUCAGAUAUCUUGAGAAGAGGAAGAAACAAAUAGGAAGAAUGAUAGGGUGACACUACAAGGAUAAAUCAUUGCUGUUCUUCAGUAUCAAACUGUAGGUGAAAAGGGCUGGACUUUGAACCGUAAGGACUGCCAGGAAAGAACCAUCUGCUAAACCCCUGAGCCGCAGACUGCCAAGGAACUCUGUACGUUUCAAGGAAUGACAGGAGGGUGUCGACUGUGGAUACACAGCUACGGACCGAUGGUAGACUUCAAAUAGUUUUAAGUGAGUAAGUGUUGGCCAGGGUGCCUGAGGGCAGUGGCUGCACCAGUGCUCAAUAUUUGAGAUGCCCAAAAAUCUACACUGGGCAAAAGGAUACCAGUUUUAAUAUCUCAGACAGCGUGUACUGUAUUGAUGACAAAAGGGGACAUUGGCUCUCACCCCAAAGAUCCCCGAAAUACCAGGCCAUCCCAGUAGAGCAGGGUGAUGUAGUAUUAAUUGUAACUAAUACUGUGUACCCAGUAUCUUUCCUUACCAGAACUCCGGGAGAACCAGUAUUACAUGACUGCUUUGAAACAACUCAAGCUGCGCAUUUCAGCCGGUCAGUUGGACCUGAAGGAUGAAAACUUAGAAGAUGCAGAAGACACCCGGUUUACCGACAGCUGCAGUUUUGUGAGACAAGGAGGCUGUAAAGCAGGAUAUACGGUAGCUACUACUGACCGGGGAAUCGGAGCACAGCCGUCAGGUGUGGGGACUUCCUCUCCAAAGGCUGAAAUAAGUGCCUGUACGAGAGCCUUAAUUAAAUGUACAGAUACUAAAUAUGUAUUUGGGGUACCACACACUCACAUUGCUAAUUGAAAAGAGCAAUGAUUUCUCACACACAAGGAAAACAUCACAACGUCAAUCUACCAAUGGCUAUUAUAUGUUGUAAAGGACAUCAGAAAAGUAACACUGUACAGGAAACAGAGAAUAAGACAAUACAUCAGGUGGCAGAACAGGCAGUUUAAGAAGGCUUCAGUUCCAGACAGUUAACUUAAAAUGUCAGAACUCAAGUCAAAACCGGUAACAUAUUAUGAAGUGGACGGGAGUCCAAUUAAUGAUUUAGAAGGGAAGAGAGCGAGCUGGCAGAGGGGCACGUGCCCAGAUGGACACAGGGCCGUGUUAUGCCAGGGCUGCGUACACUUCUCUUUAUUAAACAUACCUGCUUUAUAUCCUAACAGGCUAUAGAGUUGUUUGAUUCCGUAAUACAUGAGAAUGAUGAAAAUCAAAGGAAACAGCGAUUAAAGAUCAUAUAUUUGAUUAUUUGCAUUGAAAUUGUAUUCCUUUUUUUUUUUCUUCUUCUUUUUUCUUUUUUUUUUGAUGCCGUUGUUAGAGUAAAACCCUGAAAAUCAUGUUUUCACCAGAGAAGUAACUCUGCUGGAGACUGACAAAAUGGUAGAACGUUAUUCAACCUAUGUAAUAAAAUAACAAACGUUGUGUUUGUAAUUAGCUUUCAUUUUGAAAAAUGAUUUGUAGUCCAGUUCACCUGUUUAUCACUUGGCCUUACUGUUACAUGUAUAUAUAUGGUACAUCUAAAUUUCCCUUUAGGAAUAAAUAAAUAAUGAUGGCAGAAUAAAAAUGUCUCGAGUGAAGCACUUUGUAACCUACCUAUGCAGAACUGGGGAAGCCUCUGGUGAUUUCCAGCAUCAUAGUUCACUCUUUCUUCUGAUAGCUUAGGGGUCUUUUGAUUCAUGUCCUAUUUUAUGAAUUGGUUUUGUUUUUUGUUUUUGUUUUUUUUUUCCUCAUGUGGUUAUACGCUGGUUACAAAGUUCAUAAAGGACUGGUUUUUGUAAAAUGUGAUAUUUUUCUAGGGACUAACUAAGCUGUUCUUCAGAAACAUCCACAACCUGUGUGUUUAGAAGAGUAAAAAUGGCAAAAGUUCUCUUUCGCCGCAAGAGACCAUUUGUUCAACAGUUGUUUUAAAUUGCAUGGUACUAAGUAAGCACUAAAAUAUACGACCGUCACCAGGAAUAAAACCGAAGCAACAGACCUUCAAAUUGCCUCUACGAACAGCAAAAUUUGCUAAAAAGAGGAAAAAAGAUAAAGAGAAGAAUGGUGUUUGAAGAUGCAGAAGAGGAUAGACUGUAUGAAUGAUAAUAGGUAUGUGUUUUAAGUGCCAGGCAGUUGAGAUGAAGGUGUGCAUUUGUCAGUAUUAUUGCUGUUGGGUUUUGAUUGUUCCCACAAUUUUAAGAAGCUGUUUCCGAAGGGAUGCACAAAUUUCACAAUCAUUUGAGUGAUCUAAUAGAGGUUGUCUAGCCACAGCUCAGAGGAAAAAAAAAAAAAAGUGUUUCGCUCAUAUGCUUGAAAAUAACCUUUCUUCCUUGCAAUUCUAUGUACAUAGAGUACUCUGAAGAAACUGCAAAAAUUGCCUUUCUAAAUUUUAUUUUUAUGGAUGUAAAUCAGAAAGUUUGUGUGCCAAUGCCUUCCUUUCUUUGAAAAUGAGCUCAUUUCCCUCUGCUUUUAAUCUGUUUGAGUGAAUUUUUUCUUUAAGAAUUUCAGAAGGUAUUCCAUGAAUCUGUAACCGAGUGUGAAGUUAAUACAGACUCCUCCUAAUGAGAAGCAUAACGGUGCUUCACUCACGAGGGUGGGAACUAAAUUAUUGACUGGUGGAAAAUGCGGAUGGGCUACAGAGAAGUGAGGAAACAAAUAUGAAAUGUUAUAAACGGUGAAAAAGGAAAAGCUGAGAGGCCCAAGACGGGAAAAAAUCGCCAAAUUAAACACACAGCAGACUACAAUACAGUAUAAAUUAGUAAUUAUAUAAUUUCCUAGUGUCACGCAUUCUGGUUGGGCUUUGAUUAUUUGGAAUGUUAGGUUUAUGAAUAUACAACUUAAUUUGUACAAAGCGUUACAAGAGGUGCCGUGAGCACCUUCUAUAACUGGAUAAAGGGCUCCGAAUUCGUGUGGUCGCCAAAAGCCGUAGCCUAAAAAGGCAUCGGAGCCCUUUUUAAAUGUUACGACAGGUGUUCCACAGUUAGAAUUUCUGUUUGCAUUGUACUGUGAAUAACAAAAUUAAUAUAACGGAAAGAGAAGUUAGGCACACUCAGAAAGGCACGCUCAUUUCUUAUAAUGGUUUCACAAGUCACAGCCUGAAAGCAUUUUAUCUUUACAUAGAAAAUGUGAUUAUAUUAUACAUUGCAUAUAUUGUUUUUAAGGUAUGACAAAGUUAAUUUUCUCUGUCGGAUGGUUGCAAAUGCUGAUGGGCAUCUUUUGCUAUGUACAGAAUCAUUAUAAUAUUAAUAAAAGUAACAGUAAGGGCUAAACUGUCCCAGUGUUGCCACGUGCAGUUAAUUAACUGGGUAUCCUCACGACACAAUAGAAGGGCUUUAGUAACUGGAAGCAAGAUGUUUCACCACAGCGCGUGGACAAAUUUUGUGUCCCCGAUAUUGGCCAAAAAUAAGACAUCGCUGGAGAUUCUCAGUGGUCCCUUUUUUUUUUGAUUUUGGGCAAAAUUGUAACAUGAGUCUGUGGCCUUUGCUAGCAUAUUAAUUAAUGUAAUGAAAUUCUGUUUUCUUGUUUCUUCCUGUGUAUAUAUAUUACAAAGUGACUAUACAUUGCAUUGUAUGGAAAUUUUAAAAUGGAAGUUCUGAUUCUUCACUUAAUUUUCCUUUUUUGAAAUAAAAGUAUUCCAUCUCGUUUAAUUUUGGAUAGUACCUUAAUGUAU